GAUGAAGUUCCUUCGGGAAUGGAUUAGUGGCGAAUGUCNUCAGGAACACGUGAGAAACCUGCCUUUCAUUCUGGGAUAACACCGGGAAACCGGUGCUAAUACCGGAUACUCCGUCUUGGCGGCAUCGCCGAGCCGGGAAAAAAUUUUGAUGAAAGAUGGUCUCGCGGCCUAUCAGCUAGUUGGUGAGGUAAAGGCUCACCAAGGCGACGACGGGUAGCCGGCCUGAGAGGGCGACCGGCCACACUGGGACUGAGACACGGCCCAGACUCCUACGGGAGGCAGCAGUGGG
rnacentral:rRNA from 1 species